AUGUCUUCGGAUGUUUGAGACCGGCGAACGGGUGCGUAACACGUAUGCAACCUACCUUUUACUGGGAGAUAGCCCGGAGAAAUCCGGAUUAAUAUCCCAUAUGCUCGUACGAUCUCCUGAUCGAGCGAGGAAAGCUCCGGCGGUAAAAGAUGGGCAUGCGUCCUAUUAGUUUGUAGGUGAGGUAACGGCUCACCUAGACUACGAUAGGUAGGGGCCCUGAGAGGGGGAUCCCCCACACUGGUACUGAGACACGGACCAGACUCCUACGGGAGGCAGCAGUAAGGAAUAUUGGACAAUGGACGAAAGUCUGAUCCAGCCAUGCCGCGUGCAGGAUGAAAGCCCUAUGGGUUGUAAACUGCUUUUAUACAGGAAGAAAAACUCCGACGUGUCGGAGCUUGACGGUACUGUAAGAAUAAGGAUCGGCUAACUCCGUGCCAGCAGCCGCGGUAAUACGGAGGAUCCAAGCGUUAUCCGGAAUCAUUGGGUUUAAAGGGUCCGCAGGCGGUCUUUUAAGUCAGAGGUGAAAGCCUACAGCUCAACUGUAGAACGGCCUUUGAAACUGAAAGACUUGAGUUAUUGUGAAGUG
rnacentral:rRNA from 1 species